CUGGGCGUAAAGCGCACGCAGGCGGUCUGUCAAGUCGGAUGUGAAAUCCCCGGGCUCAACCUGGGAACUGCAUUCGAAACUGGCAGGCUUGAGUCUUGUAGAGGGGGGUAGAAUUCCAGGUGUAGCGGUGAAAUGCGUAGAGAUCUGGAGGAAUACCGGUGGCGAAGGCGGCCCCCUGGACAAAGACUGACGCUCAGGUGCGAAAGCGUGGGGAGCAAACAGGAUUAGAUACCCUGGUAGUCCACGCCGUAAACGAUGUCUACUUGGAGGUUGUGCCCUUGAGGCGUGGCUUCCGGAGCUAACGCGUUAAGUAGACCGCCUGGGGAGUACGGCCGCAAGGUUAAAACUCAAAUGAAUUGACGGGGGCCCGCACAAGCGGUGGAGCAUGUGGUUUAAUUCGAUGCAACGCGAAGAACCUUACCUGGUCUUGACAUCCACAGAACUUUCCAGAGAUGGAUUGGUGCCUUCGGGAACUGUGAGACAGGUGCUGCAUGGCUGUCGUCAGCUCGUGUUGUGAAAUGUUGGGUUAAGUCCCGCAACGAGCGCAACCCUUAUCCUUUGUUGCCAGCGGUUAGGCCGGGAACUCAAAGGAGACUGCCAGUGAUAAACUGGAGGAAGGUGGGGAUGACGUCAAGUCAUCAUGGCCCUUACGACCAGGGCUACACACGUGCUACAAUGGCGCAUACAAAGAGAAGCGACCUCGCGAGAGCAAGCGGACCUCAUAAAGUGCGUCGUAGUCCGGAUUGGAGUCUGCAACUCGACUCCAUGAAGUCGGAAUCGCUAGUAAUCGUGGAUCAGAAUGCCACGGUGAAUACGUUCCCGGGCCUUGUACACACCGCCCGUCACACCAUGGGAGUGGGUUGCAAAAGAAGUAGGUAGCUUAACCUUCGGGAGGGCGCUUACCACUUUGUGAUUCAUGACUGGGGUGAAGUCGUAACAAGGUAACCGUAGGGGAACCUGCGGUUGGAUCACCUCCUUACCUUAAAGAAGC
rnacentral:rRNA from 1 species